rnacentral:rRNA from 1 species
UACGUAGGGGCUAGCGUUGUCCGGAAUCAUUGGGCGUAAAGAGCGUGUAGGCGGCCCGGUAAGUCCGCUGUAAAAGUCAAAGGCUCAACCUUUGAAUGUCAGUGGAUACUGCCGGGCUAGAGUCCGGAAGAGGCGAGUGGAACUCCUGGUGUAGCGGUGGAAUGCGCAGAUAUCAGGAAGAACACCAACGGCGAAGGCAGCUCGCUAGGACGGUACUGACGCUGAGACGCGAAAGCGUGGGGAGCGAACAGG